rnacentral:rRNA from 1 species
CCUACGGGGGGCUGCAGUAGGGAAUAUUGCACAAUGGAGGAAACUCUGAUGCAGCGACGCCGCGUGAGUGAUGAAGGACUUCGGUUCGUAAAGCUCUGUCGUAUGGGAAUAACAAAAUGAAGGUACCAUGCAAGAAAGGAUCGGCUAACUUCGUGCCAGCAGCCGCGGUAAGACGAGGGAUCCUAGCGUUGUUCGGAAUCAUUGGGCGUAAAGCGGGUGUAGGUGGCUCUGUAAGUCAAGUGUGAAAGCCCCGGGCUCAACCUGGGAAGUGCAUU